CGUAAUUCACUUUCAAUUCUCUACAGAAGUUUAUCCGUGACAAAUACUUGAAUUACUUUCUUAGAUAAUUACUUUCCACGUAGAAUCACUUAUAGGAGAAGAGCUUCGCCAAACAAACGUACCCUUAUAUCUAGGUACGUAUCGCUCAAAGUAUUGGAGGCCAACCAGAGCCUCUGCGGUGUCCAGACGGUCGUGGGCCACGUGGCUGCUUUGAUUCGUGGGCUCGUCCUUGCCUCUCGAAAAAAUCGAGCGCACCGGACCUCGCCUCCUCCCGUUUCCUUCGCAGUCUUCGCUUCGUCCAGCGCUGCCAGCGGCCUUCCUGCGAGCCGAUGCUCGGGCUCUGGGGAGUCGCGCCUCCUCCUUUCCUCUCCACCGCCUUCUGGCCAUGACUCCGACCGCCCGCAAAGAAGGUGGAGGCACGGCGGCACCUCUGGCGCAGUGAGGCAGUCUGGUGACAGGCUGUUAGCGCCUUCCGCCCGCUUUUUCCUCUCAUCUUUAUCUUUUCCCAACCAGUCACGGCUCAAUCCCAAACAAAUAGGAGUUAGACCAAUUACGUUGUACCAUUUGAGAUAGCUUCUACAGUUAUGUCCUCGCUAGAUGCUUAGCAAAAUGGUUCUACACACGUGCUAGAAUGAAAAUAUAUUGAUCAGUAAUCAGUAAGACCAAAAUUUUCUCUGAAUGUCAUCCCUUUCUUGAGCUGUCUGACGGUCUUGAGUGCUACAGCCCUGUGUACCUAAUAGCAUUGGCACAUUACAUGGAUCCUAUUUGAUGAGGAAAUGCAUUUAGCCUCUGGAUAUCCCUUUGUUCUUUAUUUUAUUUUCCUUUGCAAAUUUCCAACAACCUGAGCUACUUGCGCACUAUAAAACAGGACGUCACAAAUGGUUUCUUGCGUUACAAUAUUACAUCUGGAAUUGUUUCUUCAUGGCAUAGCAUAUACUUCAGUCUUAUUAUAUGCGUCGCUGCUGCCCAGGCAAUCACGGCCGCCAAAGCCUGUAUCGAGUGUGCCUAUGGACAUUCCUGCACUAUCCUUGCAUACUACCCAGGGACAUGAUGCCAUGUUCGUUAUGGACAUGUGAGUGUCACCUAAUAAUAGUCGAUUUACCCAUAGUUUGACCAAAGUUAUACAAUCUGUUUCAUACCAAUUUUAUGACCACAGGUUGUUCCAUAGUACUCCUACUAUCAUUCUGCAAUGUCAAAGUUGCAUAAUUCAGUUUUCUUCUUUCCAGGAUUUUACGAUUACAGCAAAGAACUAUGUACCUGCCGAUGGUUCAUUUGAUUAUUCAUGUAAUCCUCACCUAAACUAGAUACUGAUGUCUACAUAGUUUAUAUAGGGUGAUUUAGUGUUCUGCAUUGCAGUAUUCUUUUUUCUCUUUUAUUCAGCGAUCAAGUGCUACUGCUGGGCUCUGUAAAUUAAGAUUGAACAAUUGUCCUGAUUGUGUUAUAAAACAUCAAUCGUUUGUUCUAUCACGUCUUUACUAUAAUCAGUCCUCUCACAUGUCUUGAGUAUACAACAAGGUAAUAGUCUGAAAGGUACUGCUUAACAUUUUCAUUUUCCUCUGCGCCAUGCCACCAUAAUCAGCAGCGCAGAGCUGAAACGGGCGCGGACAAAGCGCGCCACUCUUCCUAGUUAUAUACUACAUCUGGUCAGAUUCAUAUGUGGUUAGGACAACUACUCAACUUAUAUGUAUCAAAAAAAAUUCCAUCCCAACAUCAUAUUAUAAUAAUAACUAGAGACAGCAUCAUAUUAUCAUGAAAAUAAAUUUAUUGACUAAGAAACUUACACUACUCUUGGGGUGACUUCAUUACCACCUUUCCAAGGUGGCGGAUCUAGUUUCAGAGUUUAGCCGUUUAGGGUGCUCUUCUUGAAGGGAAAACGUGUAGGCUAUGCUAGCUGUAACAAAUUAGAUCUACCUAGUUCACCUAGAAAAUUUGCGAGUAAAGGAGGCCAUAAACGUUACCACUAGAUGCGCAGCGCAGCGGAAGAAGGGUUGGAGCAGCCGAUCUAACGUAAGUGCACGUCGGUAUAGAGGAAGUAGUUGAUUGCAAUCGCCUCAUCCUUGUCCCAGCAGCGCCGCAGUAGCCGAUCAGCGUAGCAGCAACAGCAGAAUCGCCUCCACGGAGUCCGCAUGUACGGGAGAGUAACGUCAUGCGCUAUGCUAGCACUGCGCGCCCGGCUAGGGUCUCAGGAUUAGGCCAAGAGGAGAUGGUGGCUAGAGUUUGUGGCG
rnacentral:lncRNA from 1 species